rnacentral:rRNA from 1 species
UACGAAGGGGGCUAGCGUUGCUCGGAAUCACUGGGCGUAAAGCGCACGUAGGCGGCUUUCUAAGUCAGGGGUGAAAUCCUGGAGCUCAACUCCAGAACUGCCUUUGAUACUGAGGAUCUUGAGUCGGGAGAGGUGAGUGGAACUGCGAGUGUAGAGGUGAAAUUCGUAGAUAUUCGCAAGAACACCAGUGGCGAAGGCGGCUCACUGGCCCGUAGUACGACGCUGAGGCACGAAAGCGUGGGGAGCA